AUGAUUGGCUUAUGAUUAUUCAAAUUCAAAUCAAAUGGCUCGUUGAAUGGUUGUACCCGUUUCAAUUUGGUUGGAUCGUGGAUCGACUACGUGUACUACUAAGCUCUCAGGGCUAGACUAAGCUGAAGCUCUAGUCAACCUGAACCUACUUUAACUUUUCUAAGUUUAGUUCUCUUCUUUUUUAUUUUAGUUUAAUUCGUUACGUUACCAGUAAGUUAGUUUAGUCAUUGACUUCAAUGGUACUAGAUGCAAUGUCUUUUAAGGAUUCAUAGUCAAUGGUUUAGUUAAUAUUUUUUUAGAAGAAUCAAAGUACUCAUAGGUACAAUCCCCUCACUACACUUGCCAGACCCCUAGGCCUAUUUCUUAAUUUCCCUACACCUGCAAAUGAACCUUCCUUUUUGACCCCAAACUAUCCCUCUACCUCAGCCCAUUUUUCAGAACCAGAACUUCCUUCUAAGCCACCUAUGCAGCAGCACACUCCUCAUCGACAGCUGUUGCCAACAAAAAGUGGAUGCAAUAAUGAGAAUUAUAAAUAGACUUUUUGUCAUCGUCGGACAGCUCCAGGAAACAGUGGUUGUCCUCACAGACGCUGUGCAAAAAAGCAGAAAAAUGGAUGACUGUGCCAUGUACAACGAAGAACAGGAAAAUCGAAAAUAUGAAAUAAUAGGAAGGAUAUACGGUACCAGUUCAGAAUUUGAAGGAGGUGGAAGAGUUAGAGAAGAUAUUAGAAAUCCCUCAAUUUAAUAGGCAGUUGUUUAAGGUUCUAACCUUGGUUGGGGGGGAAGGAUCUAAAAACUAUGACAUACAACUGCCUACGACGGUUGAUGUCCUACCAGGUUGCGGUAGAAUACUCUUACAGCGGUAACACUGCAAGAAACAAAGAAAAGACGAAGAAAAUUGCAUUUUUUAAAACAAAUGCCUGCAAAAUCGCACACGAAGCUGUAAAAAGAGUAAACCCAGUGGCAACUGAGGAAGUAGUGAAGACCUGGAUGGGAAAGUGGCUGCAACAAGCAAAAUACAGACUAGAUCGAAAAUCUUCUGAAGCAGGCGGAGGAGUUGAAGUUGGAGAAGAAAUUGAAGAAGAGGAAGUAAAAUAAAUAAUGGAAAUUGUAUUUACUAUACAUAGUAAUAAAUUAUCUUGAAACGUGAAUGCCUUGU